GAAUUCGCCCUUGGGGAAUUUUCCGCAAUGGGCGAAAGCCUGACGGAGCAAUACCGCGUGAGGGAGGAAGGCUCUUGGGUUGUAAACCUCUUUUCUCAGGGAAGAAAAAAAUGACGGUACCUGAGGAAUAAGCAUCGGCUAACUCCGUGCCAGCAGCCGCGGUAAUACGGAGGAUGCAAGCGUUAUCCGGAAUGAUUGGGCGUAAAGGGUCCGCAGGUGGCAUUGUAAGUCUGCUGUUAAAGAGUUUGGCUCAACCAAAUAAGAGCAGUGGAAACUACAAAGCUAGAGUGUGGUCGGGGCAGAGGGAAUUCCUGGUGUAGCGGUGAAAUGCGUAGAUAUCAGGAAGAACACCAGUGGCGAAGGCGCUCUGCUAGGCCGAGACUGACACUGAGGGACGAAAGCUAGGGGAGCGAAUGGGAUUAGAUACCCCAGUAGUCCUAGCCGUAAACGAUGGAUACUAGGCGUAGCCCGUAUCGAACCGAGCUGUGCCGGAGCUAACGCGUUAAGUAUCCCGCCUGGGGAGUACGCAGGCAACUGUGAAACUCAAAGGAAUUGACGGGGGCCCGCACAAGCGGUGGAGUAUGUGGUUUAAUUCGAUGCAACGCGAAGAACCUUACCAAGGCUUGACAUGUCACGAAUCCUGUGGAAACAUAGGAGUGCCUUAGGGAGCGUGAA
rnacentral:rRNA from 1 species